AAAAAAGAGAGAACAAAAGCAAAAAAAAAACCGAGAGGAGAGAAAAAGCUUAGGGGGUGAAAAUUCGAAAUAAGGGAAAAGAUUGAAAGAAAAGAGAGAAACACAUCAAAAAGAAGAAAUUUUCGUGAAGAGAGAAGAUCGAAAAAAAAGGAGAGAAACAAUUAUGUUUAAUCAAUAAUUUUACACAGAAAGGGGUCUUCGAAAUUGCUGAUUUUUCUUGCAUUUGUUGCUAAAAUCGGUGUCUUGUGGUUGAGUCCGUAGUUGCCGG
rnacentral:lncRNA from 1 species